GAGUUUGAUCCUGGCUUAGGACGAACGCUGGCGGCGUGCCUAAGACAUGCAAGUCGAGCGGGGUUUCGGGGCUUCGGCCCUGAGACCCAGCGGCGGACGGGUGAGUAACACGUGGAUAACCUGCCCUCUGCUCUGGGAUAACAGGCCGAAAGGCCUGCUAAUACCGGAUAAGCUCACGGACCCGCAUGGGUUUGGGAGAAAAGGCGCUGGAGUCAGUGGCGCUGGCAGAGGAGGGGUCCGCGGCCCAUUAGCUGGUUGGCGGGGUAACGGCCCACCAAGGCGACGAUGGGUAGCCGGCCUGAGAGGGCGACCGGCCACACUGGGACUGAGACACGGCCCAGACUCCUACGGGAGGCAGCAGUCGGGAAUUUUGCACAAUGGCCGAAAGGCUGAUGCAGCAACGCCGCGUGAGCGAAGAAGGCCUUCGGGUUGUAAAGCUCUGUUGCCUGCGAAGAAGGGCCCUGUCAGGAAAUGGGCGGGGUUUGACGGUAGCAGGCGAGGAAGCCCCGGCAAACUACGUGCCAGCAGCCGCGGUAAUACGUAGGGGGCGAGCGUUGUCCGGAAUUACUGGGCGUAAAGGGCGUGUAGGCGGCCUGUUAAGUCAGGGGUGAAAGACCGGGGCUCAACCCCGGGGGUGCCUCUGAAACUGGCGGGCUUGAGUGCUCUAGAGGGCAGUGGAAUUCCCGGUGUAGCAGUGAAAUGCGUAGAGAUCGGGAGGAACACCAGUGGCGAAGGCGGCUGCCUGGGGAGUCACUGACGCUGAGGCGCGAAAGCUAGGGGAGCAAACAGGAUUAGAUACCCUGGUAGUCCUAGCCGUAAACGAUGAGCGCUAUGUGUGAGGGGUAUCGACCCCCCUCGUGCAGUAGCUAACGCAUUAAGCGCUCCGCCUGGGGAGUACGGCCGCAAGGUUGAAACUCAAAGGAAUUGACGG
rnacentral:rRNA from 1 species